rnacentral:snRNA from 1 species
GUGCUCGCUUUGGCAGCACAUAUCCUAAAACUGGAAUGAUACAGAGAAAAUUAGCUUGGCCCCUGUGCAAGGAUGACACGCAAAUUCAUGAAGCAUUCCAUGAUUUU